rnacentral:lncRNA from 1 species
GAAGCUACUCCCACUGGUACAGAGGCAGCUUCUUUGUGUAACCUGUGUUGCCAUGGUGAUGAGACACUCCAACAGAUAUCUCCCCAGAAUUCACCAGCUAGUGACGUUUUAGAAUUGGGAAUUCUGGGGCAGCUUUGUGAAGAUUUCUGGGUAGGAAGAUGCCAGAAGGAGUAGAGCUGAGUCAAGAAUUAAAGUUAGAGAAUCAUCUUCCAUUUUUGGACCACGUGGACAGGAACCAGGGUGGUCCUCAGCCUUCCUCCAGUGACCACUGUUGCUAUUUCUGCGUGAUGUGGACCAUGUUUGGGAUUCCAGCUGCAGAAUCAAGUUGGAAAAGAAGACCAGAACAGUGUUGUAGGCCAGGAUUUCAGUGGAUCCAGAGUCUGGAGUCAAUAGUAGAGGGAGCAAUUGGAGGCUAUCAGCAGCCCUGCAGCAUGGGAAACUGGCCUCGGACGGUGAGGUCAUGUCUUUUCGAGCUCCGCUACACGUGGGGGGUGAUCAAGCCAGCUGGUGGCCCCCUUAAGAAGUAUGAUGAGGGAUUUCAGGUGAUUUGUGGUAGUCCUCCUGGGGGGUUACUAAGCUUACAAAGAGGUCAGAAGUACAAAAGGCCUUGGCCCCAGUGGAAGAACAGAGAUGAAAAGCCCAGAAACCUGUCCCCAUGAAACUCCUGGCGGGGGAGAAGGAUUCAAAAUGGGUAUAAGGUGGCGCUACCAGCACAGGGAGGAACUUUCCAUUGCUGGCUGAAGAAUAAUUACUCCCUGUUGUUGGGUUCCCUGAGUCAGUAUACAUUCCCUAAGGGGUUUGGGUGGCUUAAUCAUGCAAAUUAAAAUGAUCUAAUAGGAUUUGCUACUUGAUAAGUGAACGUAAUUACUCGGCUUCUCCCUGUUGACUUGAUCAUUGUUAUUUUAAACAGAAUUCCCUUUCUGGUAUAAUGAGUGACUGAAACGACAUGGAAAUGUUAAAUAAAACCUUAUAUAUAAAACUGGUUUUGUGGUUU